CCACGCUUCUCCUCACCACAACAGAUCCCUUCGCCGCCGCCCUCGCACUCGCACCAAGCCGCCGCCGAUCCCUGCGUCCCAGCGGAUCCGUUCGCCGCCGCCGAUCCCUGCGUCCCAGCGGAUCCGUUCGCCGCUGCCGAUCCUUCGCUGCCGCCGAUCUCGUCGCUACAUCGACGGCAACCAGGGGUCGUCCUCCGCCAGGCCGCGGCGGAGAUCAAGCAGGAGUCCUCCAAGGAUGACUCCCGCGGGAUCAUCCUGAUCCUGUUCGAGAAGUUCGGCUUCUCCCACCGCGGGUCCGUCUCCAUCGCGCUCACCGGCGCCAGGGCUGCCUCCAAGCUCGCCAAGCCGGACCCUUCGCAGCUCGGCUUCUUCCUUUGGUGAUAUAGAAGAUGAAAUUAUUAUUAUCCCUGCUCGCCGGUCAUCGCCCCGCCAAACGCAACCGCACCCCCGUCGCCCCCGGCUGCUUCCCUGCCUUCCCUGCCGUCCUCGGCCGUAGGACACCGCCACACUUCCUAUCUGCAUCGUCCUGCUGGCGGAUCGAGGUCACGCACUGACGACCCAUCAUCUCCGAUGGCGGAUCUGGCCGUGGGCGAGGAUGCCAAGCCACCUGCUCCAGUCACGGCCAUCCCGGCUCCUCGUCCACCCCCUGCCCCGUCCGGUUCAUUUUGCCUCUGUCCUACCCCCCUCUGCAUCAACUAACUCGGCGCCGCGUGAUCCUGAGGCGGUGGGAUUGAGAGGAUGGAACUCGGCCACGGGAGGAUGGUGUUCAUCGUGUGAGGGAAGAUGAGUAUGUAACUCAUGCAGGGCAAGCUGUUGUGCGGAUGCGUGACUCGACUGCAGCGUUGAGAUGGAGGGCACGUGCGCCACGGUGUCGUGCUUCACCAUCGUCCCCCUAGCCUGCUUGCAAGGCGCCGCAACCUCAAUGGUAAAGAAAAACUCAGAUAUGUCCUUGUACGUAUUUAUUAGGUUGGUCAAUUUGGGGAUUUAGGCUGAACAUUCAUAUUGAUUUGUUGUGGUCAGCGAUAGUUUCGUUUCACUUCCCAGCAGAUUCUUCAAUCUGAUCAGGAUGUGCAUGAAGUCUGCCCAUCAAUAUCAGAUAGUGGGAUUGAUGGGAUUGACGGUGCUGCUCUUGGAGGGGAUUCAUGACGCGAAUUCGUGCAGCUGGAGUAAUGCUUUUCAUUUAGCUGAAUGUGAUGCGAGCGACACUCAGAAACAUUGUGAAGAUGAUCCUGACAAAGUGAGGCAGGUGGAUGUUUUAGUUAGGAAUGUUUGCGGAUGGAUGUGAAAUGAACUGUUCAGUACUCUCCUAUUUAGUUUCACCAAUUAGGAAUUUAUUUAUAUGGUAAGAAUUGUUAGAUUGGUUUGUGAUGAAAUGUUGCUUGGAAAUAAAUGCAUGAUAGGUUAGAGUGGGGGCGAAAAUGGUUACAAUGCUCUUGUAGGAUGAUGGAUUUUUCCAUGUAGUUUUGUAGCCUUCAUGGAAGUAAGAUUUUGUAGGCUUGUUUGGACAUUUUUGUUUGUUUCGGAAACCAGAGCAGUUCACUUUAUCCAUGUGUUUUUUCUUCUUCUCUGCACUCUACUCUUUGGGAUGAUCAAUAUGCAUUACUCUUUUUCAAAGUUUCUAUUUGGAACUAUUUUUUAUUAAACCACUAUAAGAAAAGUUUCACAAGAAACCUAAACUCUGUAACAGGUGGUCAUUAAAAUUUUUUUGCCAUGUGUAAUGAAUGUUUGCCACAAGUUAGAGAACAUAACUGGUCGUUAGUUGUUUGUCAGUUUGUUUUGCUCAUGGGCAUAUAUAAUUAGCUUUUACCAGUUUUUUGAUUAUACAAGUUUUUUCCCCUCUUUUUCCACCUGUGUGUUUCUGCAAUGUGUGUACAUUCAAGCGCCAGAAGGUUUAUUCUCCCACCGUGUGCCACUAAUAUUUCAUUUUUGUUGGUGAGAUUUUUAACUUCUGGAUGCACGAAUGGUUUGGAUAUGGUGUUGCGCAAUGCUACUGGGUUAUGCUAUGACCACGGACAUGCUUAUGUGAUGGAUUCGGCGGUGCCGAUGUGCCUUGCCUAUAUCAACUACGGUGGCACCAACCCUCUUGACGGAGCCCCGGGAGCUGAUGUGUUUAGCAUGUCUGUUGGCCUCAAGGAUGACCAGUUCAUCUACUUGUGCAACCUAUUCUGCUCCACCAUGGGUGCCUAGGGUCACCGAUCAUACACUGCAUCGAUUAACAUUGAUAUAGACGAUGAAGAUUCCAAAAUAAGUUGCCUGUUGGUUGGACAUCCCGAAGCACGGGCUGGCGGAAGGCAAAGAGAGCUUUAGCAGGGUCGAGGUUGACACCUCACCCGAUGAUCACAUGUUCUUCAAGGAAGGAUGGAAGAAGUUCCUCACGAGAACAUGACUUGAGGUGUACGAAUUAUGCCAUCGCCCGCAAUGAAGAUAAUGUUCGACGAGUUCUGGAUUUUCAUGGGUUUGGUUAGUCAUUUCUCUGGUUUUUGUAACCGAACACAUGCAUGUGUGUGUGUGUGCUUAUGUGUGGCUAGAGGCCGCAGGAACCAGUAUAUAAAUUUUGGUCUACCUUACUAAUGAUUAUCAGUGUUGAAUUUGUUAGUGUUCUCUUCUUA